CCCUAUUGUACAUGAGCAUUCCCAGCCUGUGGUUUUAGUUGUCUGUGAGCAGUCACACACUGACUGGGUUGGCAAAGAACAUUCCUAUAGCAUCCUCCAGCCCCAGAGAGCUGUAGCUGAAGGACUCCUUCCCAGCUGUAGAAAGGCAAUUAUUUCUAAACCAGCCCACUCACGUUAAACUCUUGUAAGAACAUAACGAAUGACAGAGGAGUUUGAAUCAUCUAUAGUACAUCUGUGGAACUUGAGGAAACUUUGCCACGAGAUAGAUCAGACAAAGCCAACCAGCAUCCCUGAUGAAAAGUGAUUUCUGCUUUAAUUGAAAUGAGCGUUAUGAACAGCUGCCAGAAACUUCUCAUGGUAGAGAAACUGCCAGCAGCCAGAUGAAGACACCUGUCCCGAUCUGCAUGUGGAGCCAUGAGCAGUCAUUUCUUAACUUGGCAGUGCUCCUUGCAGUAACAUUUCCAACACCACCUAGAGGACCAGGAAAUUCAGUCAGGCUGGCAGCACCAGAGGUGGGCCUGAUCAGAUCUUUCUCGGCAAGUUCUUAUUCAAGAAAUAAGAGAAAAUAGAGGAGGCUGGGCAUUAAUCCCGAGAUGGUAGAGAGAAUUUUUUUGGAGGUUAACUGCUGAUUUGCAGAUAUGCAACUUUUCAAGCUUUGGUCUAUGUGGGUUUGGAAGAAAACUGAAAAACGAUACUGAGGAUAGUUUCAUUCCUUUCCUACUGGUGUAAAUAGACUCCCAAGAAUAUCAACUGAGAGGAAAAGAAAUACGGAGGGACAACCUGAAGCAUGUCUCGUGUCACAUUAUAGCUCUGGCCAAAGGAAAGUGGCUGCAAAAAUGGUUCUGUUGUUUGCAAUGUGACUCAGAUGUCACAAACUAAAGUUUGGAAAGUUAUUUGUUCAAAACACCAACAACUGGACAGUAGGCUGAGAGCCAUAAAUGCAGAUACCUGCAGAACAAAUUUGCUUUUUGAAUCAGAAGUCGGCGUCCAAGUACCCUGGGCCUGCUGAAGCAUCUCUAAUAUUUACACAGAUGAGUCAGAGCUCCCACUUCUACCAGCAUAAACAGAGAUGUGGGAGGAACAGUGUGGCAGGACCCAAUGAGCACUUGGUCAGUAAAUCAGGAUCUCUGGCUUCUACAUCCAGAGUGUGUGACCAGGGGAAGUCCCAUCAACUCCUUGAGUCUCAGAGAAAUACUUGACUUUGCUAUGAUACUGCAACUGGCAAUAAGGAAAUGUGAAUUUCAACUGAAAGAGCCCCUGGGAGACUACAAGAAAGGAAAUAAGAAAAUCAAGGUACAUGUCCUCCUGAAGAUUACAUAGUCUAUCAAUCAAAAUGCAAUUCAAGAAACAGAAAGAACUCUAGGUAUUUCCUGCAGAAAGUGAUUUUGUGGAGAGAAUAGGGUGUUCACAAAAUUGUUAGAAAUGUUGGAGGAGAAGGAGUUCAGGAAUAGCUAUUGAACUGUGAUAGCAAAGACACACAGCCCUGGCUGCUAUCCAGAGCCACCAUCAACUCUCAUCACCCAUGAAGCACACAGCAAUCGUAGCUGCUAGAACUGCCUUCCAAGAUUCGUGUCUCUUUAAUUUUGCUUCUAGAAUUGUAACUGAAAAAUAUAGCCCCCAUCUCACUAUCAUGUUCCAAAUUUCAGGCAAGCAUAUAUAACUAGUAGAAUCUAAUUCCCACCCAGAACCAUAAUUACAAGAGAAAUAUAGAAAGGCAGAUUUUCCUUCUCCAGACCUGGAAACACAAGAAGACACCUAGAAGAAGAAUGGAUCUGAAUGCCAGCCUACCACCCAGCAGUCAUAGCUUGGACCUGGUAGAGCUGAACUACCUACUGUAUCUCCACAAAUGGAAUUCCCAGACUCCAGAGAAUGCAGAACUAAACUAAUACAACUGUUAUUACAUGAUAUUUCAAAGGAUUUCUCCUCCAAGAGUAUUGUCAUUUAUUAAUAAAAUAUAGACUAUUCUAUAAAAUUCUAGGAUAUAACUGUUUCAGAGAAAGCUCUCAGGAGAUAUUAUAUCACACACUGUGGAAAUCUAGUUUCUGUGCCAUAAAACUCAAUGCAAAGACAAAGGAAUCACUAAGUGCUGUGAGAAUAUGGACCACAUCUAGGGUUAGGCAUCCCAACCUGAAAUUUUAACACAAUGCUAAGCACUUAUCUAAUUUAAUUCUUACAAAAAAUCCUAUAAAGUAUGUGCUACUAUCCUCAUUUUGUCUAUCAGGAAAGUGAAACUCAGAGAAACAAAGUAAUUUACAUAAACUUACACAGUUAAUAAGGGAAAGAGUUGGGAAUUAAGCCUAAUUUUGUCUGAUGCCACACACAGCAUUUUACAAUUUUUUCUCGUUCCUAAAGAACUUUGUCUUCUGUCAGUUUACUACUGACCCAAAAGGCACGGAGCAAUUAAAAUACCUGUAAUAAGUGUUACAUCAAAGAUGUUCUAAGAAUUUAACCAGAGCUGACAUCAUUAAAGCACUCCUAGUUUCAAGCUGGUUUCCUAGGGAGACUCCAUCCCAGUUUUCACUCUCCUCCCACUCCAGCCAAAGUUCUUCCAUUUUUAAUGAGAUGGGAUUCUCCUCUUUUAUUUGUUCUUUUUCAUAAGUUAAUAAUUUGAUAUUGGUUUCAACAUUUAAAUGAGAAGAUUGUGAAAUCCACCCACAUGCUUCACUUUUAAUUCUAUUGUGAGGAAUUGUAGAAUUGGAAAAUGAAAGAAAUAAUGUUGACAAAUGUAUGCAUAAGGGCCCCAAGCAGUCAGUCUGUCCCCUUCUGGGCACAGUGGCAGGUUAGUGGGGGUGUUAGGAGAAUAGGUAAAAUUGAAUUCAAAAGAAUUUCUUUUCACAUUAUAGAAUUCCAUCUCCAAUGCCAAGCCAACUAAGCUACCCACGCUAUUUAAUAUUUUCCAUCUGUUCAACUCUACAACUUUGAAAACAGUGACAACUGAUAUAUAAGAAAGUAUUUAAUAUAUUAAUAUGAGUUACCAAUAAUCU